UAAAGAUGGAAAAACAGAGAGGAGUUGAAGAGAGCGAGAUAGAAGCGGAGGACGAGAACGGGUUGUUGACCUGCCAGAAAAGCAGAGACAUCCAUCAAUACCAGAGCCAGGCAGGUCACUAUGCAGUGUUGGUGCAGGACUUGUUCCAGUUCUAGCCAGCUCAUUUCUUUUCAUCUGCCACUGAAAACUCAAGCGCUCCGCAGGCCUGAACAGCCAGGUAUCUUGACACUAAUGGGUUUGCUCAAAUUACAUGGCACACUCGGACAGAAUCUUCUCUCUCUCUCUGCUCAGCCGUCCUCGGCCAAUGCCCCUCGUCCUGACUGUAAAAUGCAGGACAAUGGAACACACGACGAGUAGGAACCAGAAUUAUCAGCUGUUCUCAUCUCUGAAUGCUACCAUGUGGAAAGGUUUUUGUUUUUUUCUCUCAAGACAAAAACAUUCAGCACACUCACAUUCACGAUGCGUAACACGCCAUCACCUUUAAGCAAUGUUUAAAUUUGUUGGUCAAGAUGUGUGUAGUCCAAAUAAAGAUUUAUCUUGGUGGAAA